GGCGCCACAGCGGUGCUGAGCUCAGCUCCUUUCCUCCUGCUGCAUGCUGGGCUGCUACCGGCAUCCACUGCCUCGCGUUCGGCCACGGAAGAGCAUCAUGAUAGAAAAACCUAGCAGAACACAGUUACUCACUAACAGCAACCAGGAAGCAGAGAGGGAUGCAGGAGAGUGCUGGACAAGGUAUUUAUUUCCAGAUCACAACCUCAGUAUUCGCUUUCCUCCGGCUAGGCCUACCUACCAGUUUCUGCCACUGUCUGGAAAAUGCUAUAAUCUGGUUUCACUGAUGGAUUAGUGAGGCCUGGUAACCAAUCAGUUUCUAAAUGUCCCACCUCUGAACUUGGCUGCAUCGGGAACCAGGCCUUUAACAUGCAACCCUUUUGGAGGAAUACUUUAUAUUUAAACAAUGACAAAAGCCAAGGUUACAGGGGGAAGCCAUGAGUCUGAAUCAUAGCACAACCACAACUGUAUCCAUGAAAAAAUAAGAAAAGCACAAGACCCCGAGUUCAAGCCCCAGGGGCCCACAGAAAAAAGCCAGACACAGUGGCAUGGACUGUAAUCCCAGCACUGGGAGAAUAAGAGCCAGGCAGAUCCCUAAAGCUCACUGGCCAGUCCACCUAGCCUGCUUGGUGAGUUCUUGGCCAAUGAGAAACCUUGUCUCAAAAAAUAAAAAAAUGAAAAUAAAUAAAUAAAUAAAUAAAAUUUAAAAAUGAAUAAUGUUUCUGUAGUAAAACACCAGAGGAUGCCCUGUGGUUACAACAAGCACAUACACACACAUCUGCACACAUGACCACUUGCACAGGAACGCACACACACACAAAGAGCAGAUAUCAAGGUAGUAAAUAUUUUCAUCAAAUCUAACAUCAGCUUAAUAGUCUAUAAAAAAUAUCUGAUAUGAGUGAACUUUUAGUUGUUUUUGGUUUGUUUUUGGUUUUUUUUUUUUUUUUUUUUUUUUUUUUUAACAGUUUUUGCCUGAGUUUAUUUGUAGAAACAGCAUAGGACACCGGUCAUCUGCAAAUAGUGUGUGGGGAGGUAUGUCACAGCAGUCUGUCUGUCUUCACACUGGCAGGAGCCUUUUCUAUGGGGCCUUCACAGGGGCCUGGGCACCUUUGGGAGCCUGGGCUGGAGCUGAAGCCUGGGUCUUAGCUGGAGCUUUGGCCUCUGCCUUGGUUUGAACCUUGGGCUUUGGUUGGCAGAGCCUUUGACCCUUGGCCACGUAGCUUCGAAUCUGCUUCCCAAGCUUGGGGUGAGCGAUGAAAGCCAGACGGCUAAGUUUGCAGCAUCUUGGACUUGACGGCCUGAGGCUUCUCCAGGGCCUUGACGGCCUCUGCGCGCGCACUCACUGCCUUUGCAUUGCUGGCCUGCAUCUUCUUCAGGCCUUUCUUGGUGUGCAUCUUGGCAAAGCGCAUGUUCCUCAGGAACUUGGGGUCAACCCCCUUAAGAGAUUCGUAGCUUUGCGACCGGGGUUUCUUGAUGCCAUUUCUGUGCCAUUUUCGGGACUGGUUGUGUGUGGUGUGGUUCUUGGACUUGGCCGUGUCUGCAUGGUAACCCGCGGCUCCCCUUUUAUUGGUUUUUCGAGACAGGGUUUCUCUGAAUAACCCUGGCUGUCCUAAAACUCACUCUGUAGACCAGGCUGGCCUCGAACUCAGAAAUCCUCCUGCCUCUGCCUCCCAAGUGCUGGGAUUAAAGGCGUGUGCCACCACUGUCCGGUGUUUGUUGUUUUUAUUUUAUUUUAUUUUAUUUUAUUUUAUUGAGACAGUUUCUCUGUGUAACAGCUCUGGCUGUCUUGGAACUCACCUUGUAGAUGGGCCAUCCCCAAACUCAAAACAGUCUCAAACUCAACAAAGAUCUGCCAGCCUCUGCCACCCCCCUCCCCAAGUGCCAGGAUAAAAGGUGUACACCUUCACCUGGCCAUGCAUGAACUUUUAUAGAACAAAGAUGAUUAGACCCCUAAGAGGUUAACAGGUAACUGGUAUACAAUAAUUUACUAGGAUCCCAAAACAUGACAAUUUAGUCCCAGCGCUGGGGAGGCAGGGGUUGGUGGAUCUUGGAGUUCAAGGCAGCUGGUCUACAGAUGGAGUUCCAGAACGGCUGGGGCUUUACAGAAAAACUCUGUCUCAAAAUAAUAAUAUUAAUAAUGAUGAUGAUGAUGAAAAAUAUUUUUUUCAUAAAAGCAGAGAAAGCAUGCCCAUUCAUGAGGAAGCCUGUACCUAUGAUUAUAUUCUCCGUUAACUGAAGGCAUUUUAGAAUAUGAUAUCUGGUAUUUACUUCAGAAUAACAAAAAGAAAGGGCUGUGGGUGAUCCAGUUUUUGAUGAACAUGGUGAGGGGCGCAGACUUCUCAAACUCACCCUGCUUUAAUGCAGAAUUUGAUGUUUUCUAUAGGAAAAAAAAAUCCUGAAAUUUGCAUUUUGUGAUUAAAUCGGUGUGCUUAAAAAAAAAAAAACAAAAACAAAAAGAAGAGAAUAUGGUCAAAAUUCAAAAUUGAUGAAACUUUUUUGGGGGGGGGUUCGAGACAGGGUUUCUCUGUAUAGCUCUGGAACUCAUUUUGUAGACCAGGCUGGCCUCAAACUCAGAAAUCCGCCUGCCUCUGCCUCCCGAGUGCUGGGAUUAAAGGCGUGCGCCACCAGGGCUGGCUCCUGAUGAGACUUAAUAAUCCAUAGAAUCUUCAACACUCAGACAGCAGCAAAGGCAGGCAGAUCUCUGCGUUCAAGCCAAACCUAGUGUAUAAAUCAAAUUCCAGGAUAGCCAGAGCUACAUAAAGACCUCAGAAUAAAACAAACACACAGACACAUGUUCAACAAACUCCGCACAUAAAACAAGGAGAGUACCUAGAUAUAUCAUAUAAUUGACAUGUCAUAAACUUUAAAAAUCUAGUGAUAAAGCCAGGAGGCUCCUUCCCCCUCCCCUCCCCCCGGGUUCACUACAGGAACAGAACAGAGAGUAACAAUUCAGGCUGACUCUGAACUCACUAAAUAGCCUAUUCGAAUCUACACGUAUGUCUCCUCCCAAGUGCUGGUAUUAUAGUCACACAGCACCCUGGCUGGCUGCCUUCAUUUUCCUUCUUUUUCUUUUUAUUAUUGUUUUUGAGAAAGGGUCUUACAGAACCUUGACUGGCAUGGAGUGCCUACCUAGACCAGGCGAGCCUCAAACAGAGUCCCCUGCCUCUGCUCCUAUGGACUGGGAUUAAAGAAGUGUCCCUACCAUCACUGACCUUUUAAAAUUGUUUUGCUUUUGAGACUGGGUUUCUUUUUUGUAGCCCCGCUGUCCUGGAACUCCCUCUCUAAACCAGGCUGUCCUUAAACUCAGAGAGAUCUGUCUGGCUCUGCUUCCUGAGUGCUGGGAUUAAAGGCGUGCGCGACCAUGCCCGGCGAGACCCUGUCUUUUAAAAAAAAGUGUCUACCAUGACUGAAGCUUCUCAAAUGUGCUCUCUAGUGAACCCAGAUGAAUACACUAUGUGUAAAAAAAAAAAAAUGUCGGGAUGAAACCCAUUAUUAUGGAUAAUUGCUAUAUGCUAAUAAAAACAGAGUGCCCAUCACAGAUAAAUGUAUAAACAACAGAGAUUGCUAGUGAUAUAGGUUAACUAUAAAAGACACUCUGUGCACAGGAGGCCUUGGGUUCAAUUCCCAGGAUUUUAAAUGAAUGAAUAAUAAAAUUGAUAAGUAAAA